rnacentral:rRNA from 1 species
AUGACCUACGGGGGGCAGCAGUGGGGGAUAUUGCACAAUGGGGGGAACCCUGAUGCAGCGACGCCGCGUGGGUGAAGAAGCGCCCCGGCGCGUAAAGCCCUGUCAGCAGGGAAGAAGAAGGACGGUACCUGACCACGAAGCCCCGGCUAACUACGUGCCAGCAGCCGCGGUAAUACGUAGGGGGCAAGCGUUAUCCGGAUUUACUGGGUGUAAAGGGGGCGUAGACGGCGAUGCAAGCCAGGGGUGAAAGCCCGUGGCCCAACCACGGGACGGCGCUUGGACCUGCGG